CGGAGACAUUAUGGGCGGAUCUGAAGGCGGGAUAACUGUAAAUGGAGGUGGAUAGUAUUGGCUAAUUCAGAAUUUCAACGAAUGAGAUUGUUGUUAAAGUAUGACAAUCAAAAACUCACUCAACGUUUGAAGUUGUCUAUCAAGUAUAACUUCCACCAAUCUUUUCACAGUUAGUGAUCCCUACCGCUUUGAGGUUCCGCCUCAUAGAGUUUCUUUUGAAAUAGCAGAAGCGAAGAAACUCUAUUAGACCAAAGAAGAAGCGACGAAACGAAUUGUUAUUUCUGACAAUGGAAGAUCAUAUCACGAUCAAAAAUACCACAGACAUUCCGUCCGUACUUUAAUCUUCAGAUGUGUUUUUGUGCCCUAUCUGUCAUCCGUGACUGUAUUCUUCACGCUCGUAUAUACGAGCAAAUGAACACUUACGAGAUCACCGCAGAACAGCAGUUUCCUACGGAGUCAGGACGAAGAAGAUCAUGGCAGCAGUGAACUCGUUGAGGAAUAUACUGAUACAGCCACACCAAGGUAUUAAUGUAGAACUUAGUCUACCACUGUGGUUUGAUACUUCGUUCAACUUGAGUAAAAGCCUUAAAAUUGAACAUGGUAUGAAGGAUUGUCAUAAGCUUUUUGACCCGUUGUCACAUGGGGAGUGUUAGAUUGGUUAUUUUGAUGGUUAGAAUAAAAAUAUCUUCAAAGCUUUUCUGUGACUUGCAUAUUACUUUAGCCAGAGUCCUGACUUGUACAAUCAUAAUACUCUGAAGUAAUGGGUGUAUUCAGAAAAGCUAUUGAGAUCACAUCCAACAGGAGUUUUUGUAGUGAUCCACAGAGUAAUCCUCACAGUUUCAACUGUCUUCCACUGUGUCCACUUUUCCGAGAAAACACAACUGUUCAGACCAAAACCAGACAGCUUGCAUAAGACAAAUACUACAUGUGACAGUCUGAUGCAUUUAUUUGUGUGUGUCCACAGUGUAGGAGAGCAGGCUGGCUGUGUGGCUGCAGCAGGGCCGCUGACUGAAGAACAAGUGGCUCAGAUUUUUGCAGCUGCAGAGAUCAGCAGGGCCUACAGGAGGACUCAUCAUGAAAAACUGUUAGAGUUCAUAAUAAAGGACCAUGGAGCAGAUGAUCACUUGCUGGUAACUUAGUUCAGAUGACAAGUAAAACUUUGGUAUUGUAAUCUAUCUGGCAGCAAAGAGCUAUGAUGACUUUAUAGUGCCAAACACUUGUAUUUUCUUGUCCAACAGGCUGUUGUAUCUCGUAAGGUAUCGUCCAAAUGGUUAAAAAAUUAUGAAAAUCCUAAAGGUCACCGGGUAAUGACUUAUAUAGAAGAUGAGGAGCUGAUAGAUGGCCUCUACAACUUCUUGGAUGAAGUGCUGUCAAGUGCUGUAGGCACUUUUGAGAGGAUUGACAGAGUUCGCAUCAUUCAGGAUGUGCUGAUGCCAGAGGUUAAUUAGCCUUCGUAAAUCUCUAAUGAGUACAGAAAGUGUGUCUAUGAGUAACAUCCUCUCUUUUUCUGUGUUUUUGAUGGGCUCUUAUUAAAGCUGUACAAACAGUUGAGAGGAUUUCUCUGCCAGAGGCAGAAAAUCUGUUCAUGGAUGGACCAGCAUACAGUGAGUGUGAGAGGGAAGAGUUUGACAAACUGUACUUGUUUUACAACAGUUGGAAGCACAAGGAAAGCACCACUGAGGCAUUUAAACUCAGGAUUACAUCUCAACCCUAAUCAAAUAAAUGUGUCUCUUUCUUUACUUCUCUUUUGCCUUUUUUAUUUCUGUGUGUUAAAAUGAUUGCACAUAAUAGAGUUGUAUAUAUUUAAUGUAACUAUUGAUGUAAGUAAUAAAGGACACUUUCUGUUAUUGUUAAAGAUUGUUGAUUAAGUUCUGUAUAUUUGAAAUUGCGUGUCUGUUUUUAGACAAUUGAUGUCAUCUGGAUUUUUUCUUUAAUUGUUAUAACUGCUUUGUACAGUUGUUAUGCAUUUUACAAUGUUGUUUUAUUUAUAUAUAAUAUAUAGAAGCGGGCAUGCUGUUGUUUUAAUACUUCAGUAUAUUCCUUGAUCAGUCUGUUUGUUAAAUUUAAUCUUUGUGCAUUUUUUCUUUCAAUUCAC